rnacentral:rRNA from 1 species
GAUGAACGCUGGCGGCGUGCCUAAUACAUGCAAGUCGAGCGAACGGACGAGAAGCUUGCUUCUCUGAUGUUAGCGGCGGACGGGUGAGUAACACGUGGAUAACCUACCUAUAAGACUGGGAUAACUUCGGGAGACCGGAGCUAAUACCGGAUGAUAUUUUGAACCGCAUGGUUCAAAAGUGAAAGACGGUCUUGCUGUCACUUAUAGAUGGAUCCGCGCUGCAUUAGCUAGUUGGUAAGGUAACGGCUUACCAAGGCAACGAUGCAUAGCCGACCUGAGAGGGUGAUCGGCCACACUGGAACUGAGACACGGUCCAGACUCCUACGGGAGGCAGCAGUAGGGAAUCUUCCGCAAUGGGCGAAAGCCUGACGGAGCAACGCCGCGUGAGUGAUGAAGGUCUUCGGAUCGCAAAACUCUGUUAUUAGGGAAGAACAUAUGUGUAAGUAACUGUGCACAUCUUGACGGUACCUAAUCAGAAAGCCACGGCUAACUACGUG